AAUCAGGCGCGCGGCAGAGAGGAGGGUGUGACGUUCCAGGAGCUAGUGGCCUCUUCACCCUGGUGACCUCUGUUCCGUAUUCUGUCACUGAGAGACGCCCUGGGACAUCUGUGGUGGCUUUUGUCGCGCUGGGACCUACCCUGGCUACGGGAGUUGGGAAGACCCGGGACACAGCACAGCCGGGAAAUGGACUCAGUGGCCUUUGAGGAUGUGGCUGUGAACUUCACCCAUGAGGAGUGGGCUUUGCUGAGUCCAUCACAGAAGAAUCUCUACAGAGAUGUGAUGCGAGAAACCAUUAGGAACCUGAACUGUAUAGGAAUGAAAUGGGAAAACCAGAACAUUGAUGAUCAGUACCAAAAUCUCAGGAGAAAUCCAAGAUGUGAUGUGGUAGAGAGAUUUGGUAAAAGUAAAGAUGGUAGUCAGUGUGGAGAAACCUUAAGCCAGAUUCGAAAUAGUAUUGUAAACAAGAACACUCCCACCAGAGUAGAUACAUGUGGAAGCAGUGUGAAUGGAGAAGUCAUAAUGGGUCAUUCAUCCCUGAAUUGCUACAUCAGAGUUGACACUGGACACAAACACCGGGAGUGUCAUGAAUAUGCAGAGAAGUCAUAUACACAUAAGCAGUGUGGGGAAGGCUUAAGUUAUCGCCACUCCUUUCAAACAUGUGAAAGGCCUCACACUGGAAAGAAACCCUAUGAUUGUAAGGAAUGUGGAAAAACCUUCAGUUCUCCUGGAAACCUUCGAAGACAUAUGGUAGUAAAAGGUGGAGAUGGACCUUAUAAAUGUGAAUUGUGUGGGAAAGCCUUUUUUUGGCCCAGUUUAUUACGUAUGCAUGAAAGAACUCACACUGGAGAGAAACCGUAUGAAUGUAAGCAGUGUUCUAAAGCCUUCCCUGUUUACAGUUCCUAUCUAAGACAUGAAAAAAUACACACUGGGGAGAAACCGUAUGAAUGUAAGCAGUGUUCUAAAGCCUUCCCUGAUUACAGUUCAUAUCUAAGACAUGAAAGAACUCACACUGGAGAGAAACCCUACAAAUGUAAACAAUGUGGGAAAGCCUUCAGUGUUUCCGGUUCCCUUCGAGUACAUGAAAGAAUUCACACUGGAGAGAAACCCUAUACAUGUAAACAGUGUGGGAAAGCGUUUUGUCAUCUUGGAAGCUUUCGAAGACACAUGAUAAUGCACAGUGGAGAUGGACCUCAUAAAUGUAAGAUAUGUGGGAAAGGCUUUGAUUUUCCUGGUUCAGCACGAAUUCAUGAAGGAACUCACACUCUAGAGAAACCCUAUGAAUGUAAGCAAUGUGGGAAAUUGUUAUCUCAUCGCUCAAGCUUUCGAAGACACAUGAUGGCACACACUGGAGAUGGCCCUCAUAAAUGCACGGUAUGUGGGAAAGCCUUUGAUUCUCCUAGUGUAUUUCAAAGACAUGAAAGGACUCACACUGGAGAGAAACCCUAUGAAUGCAAGCAAUGUGGGAAAGCCUUCCGUACUUCCAGUUCCCUUCGAAAACAUGAAACAACACACACUGGAGAGCAACCCUAUAAAUGUAAAUGUGGAAAAGCUUUUAGUGAUUUCUUUUCCUUUCAAAGUCAUGAAACAACACACAGUGAAGAGGAGCCUUAUGAAUGUAAGGAGUGUGGGAAAGCAUUUAGUUCUUUUAAAUACUUUUGUCGCCAUGAAAGGACUCACAGUGAAGAAAAAUCUUAUGAGUGUCAAAUUUGUGGGAAAGCCUUCAGUCGUUUCAGUUACUUAAAAACUCAUGAAAGGACUCACACGGCAGAGAAGCCAUAUGAAUGUAAGCAAUGCAGGAAAGCAUUCUUUUGGCCCUCUUUCCUUCUAAGACAUGAAAGGACUCACACUGGAGAAAGACCCUAUGAAUGUAAACACUGUGGUAAAGCCUUCAGUCGUUCCAGUUUCUGUCGAGAACAUGAAAGAACUCACACUGGAGAGAAGCCCUAUGAAUGACUCAGUGACCUUUGAAGAUGUGGCUGUGAACUUCACCCAGGAGGAAUGGGCUUUGCUGGAUCCUUCACAGAAAAAACUCUACAGAGAUGUGAUGUGGGAAACCUUCAGGAACCUGGCCACUAUAGGAACAAAACAAAAAGAAUGGAACAUUGAAGAGCAGUACAAAAACCAGGGGAGAAAUCUCAGAAAUCAUAUGGUAGAGAGACUCUGUGACAGUAAAGAAGGUAGUCAUGGUGGAGAAGGUUUCAGCCAGAUUCCAAAUCUCAGUCUGAACAAGAAAACUCCUUCUGGAGGAAAGCUUUGGGAAAGCAGUGUAUGUGGAAAAGUCUUGAGCCAUCAUUCAUCCCUUAACAGGCACAUUAGAUCUUACACCAGACACAAACUGUAUAAGUGUCAGGAAUAUGGAGAGAAGCCGUAUAAAUGUAAGAAAUGUGGGAAACCCUUCAGUUAUCUGCAGUCUUUUAAAAAACAUAAAAGAACACACAGUGCAGGGAUAGUCUACAAAUGUAAGGCCUGUGGGAAAGCCUUCAGUUGUCAACGUUCUUUCCAAAUACAUGGAAGGACUCACACUGGAGAUAAACCCUUUAAGUGUAAAGAAUGUGGAAAAGCAUUCCGAUACCACCAAUCUGCUCAAAAACAUGAAAAGGCUCAUACUGGAGAGAAACCCUACAAAUGUAAGGAAUGUGGGAAACCCUUCAUUUACCGCCAUUCUGCUCGAGCACAUGAAAGGAAUCACACUGUACAGAAACGCUAUGAAUGUAAACAAUGUGGAAAAACCUACAUAUCUUCUGUAGGUUUUCAAGCACAUGAAAGAACUCACACUGGAGAAAAACCCUAUGAAUGUAAAAAAUGUGGAAAAGUGUUCGUAUAUCACAACUCUGCUCAAAGACAUGAAAAGACUCAUACUGGAGAGAAACCCUACAAAUGCAAGGAAUGUGGGAAAGCCUUCAGUUACCACUGUACUGCUCAAAAACAUGAGAGGAAUCACACUGCACAGAAACACUAUGAAUGUAAACUGUGUGGGAAAACUUACUUGUCUCCUUUAGGUUUUCAAGCACAUGAAAGUACUCACACUGGAGAUAAACCCUUUGAGUGUAAAAAAUGUGGAAAAGCAUUUAGAUACUACUACUCAGCUCAAAGACAUGAAAGGACUCAUACUGGAGAGAAACCCUACAAAUGUAAGGAAUGUGGGAAAGCCUUUUAUUGUUGCAGUUCUGCCCGAAGACAUGAAAGGAUGCACACUGCAAAGAAACAGUAUGAAUGUAAAAAAUGUGGGAAAACAUACAUUACUCUUGCAGGUUUCCAGAUACAUGAAAGAACCCACACUGGAGAGAAACCUUAUGAAUGUAAACAGUGUGGUAAAGCCUUCAGUAGUUCCAGUUAUAUUCAUAUACAUGAACGAAUUCAUACUGGAGAGAAACCCUAUGAAUGUAAAGAAUGUGGAAAACCCUUCAGUUUCCUUACAGGCUUUCGAGUGCACAUGAGAAUGCACACUGGAGAGAAACCUUAUAAAUGUAAGGAUUGUGGCAACGCCUUCAUUUGGCGUGCAUCCUUACAAUACCAUGUGAAGAAAGUGCACGCUGAAUAGAAACUAUAAAUUUCUGGGCCAUUGAAAAAUGAGUUUGGUACUGGGAGUUUUCUACUGGCAUCCUGUGGCAGGUUAUCGGAGACAUGGUUACAGAAUUUCAUUUUGAUCCAUUAUGGUCACCUGGUAGCUUUGUCUGAUGGAGGUUUGUUACAGUUUUCAACAGGGUAAGACUUCGCCUUCUUGUGACUGAGAUAAGGUAUGAGGAAGCCUUGGCCAUACCACCAGCCGCUUAUCCCAAAUUCCUGAUCCCUGGAAGACAUCUGGGCCCUCCCUCCUGUUCCAGCCCAGUAGCUUCCAGCAAAGGUACUGGCUCAAUUGGACACGGAGUGUGGAACUGCCUGCUCACACUUGUGAACUCCCGUCCAGGAGGAAGAAACAGGGCCCACCUUCCAGAGGCCGAGGUGGCUCCACCACAGCUUCUGUCCGGUGGUGACCAGCACUGAUCCCCGGAGCCAAGGGAGGACCCGGGACACCUGGGAGCCGGGAAAUGCUGCAGUCCAAGAGGCCAACUGGAACAUUAACAUCAGACACUAAUCCAGCUUACUGGACACAAUUGGGAAAACUGGUUAUUUUACCAAGGCUUUAACUGGAAUGGUGUGCCUUCCAUUAAGGAAUCAAAUUUGACUUAUGGAGCCAAUAAAGCCCUUGGAAAGCUGGCCUCAGAUUUCGUGUACAGUCCCUGUACAGGGUUUCCGAUCUGUGAGAUUUCUUAAACUGACAGGAUCAUGGCCAUUUCACAGACAACUACCCAAAAAUAUCUACAGACGGCGCUGCUCCUACCAACCCGAUACCAGAGAACUCUCCGUCCCCUCGUCAGCAGGAAGUAGCCAGAAAGAACAUGCCGCCCCUCGUCCUUUUUAUAACUAUGAGGUCUGGAUUGACAGAGCAGAAGCAUCACCAUUGUGGAUAAGUGCCUCAUUUUAAAAUUCACCUUAAUCAAAAACUGCCUAAAUCCAAAGGGCAUCAGCCUAAUGGCUAAGGUCAGCAUGAUCACAAACCACAAAUAACAUCUCCAACCAAAAACAUUCCAGACACCUCCCACAGAGAAAUGCUAGCCUCAGGAUAACCCCUCUCCUGCCGGAAAGAUGUCACCCCCAAGAUAACCGCCCCUCCGCCUAGAACAUUCCAACCCUGCCAUAAACUUCUCCCCCACACAGAAACAUUCCAAGCUUGUAAUAAGCUCCCACACCCUAAAACCAACGUACAUUCUUAGUCUGCAAGGAAAAGUGCUCCUGACUGACCGGCCAGAAUCCUCUCUCAGGUCUUUUCUAUAAUAAACCUGUCUUUGACUGUCAA